GUCUCCUCGGGAAUCACGUGGAGUCGGUGAUCUUCCCAGUGGGUGUACGCAUUUAAACGGGGGCAAAGGCAUGUCCAAAGGUAGCUAAAUUACUGGACCAGUAAUUCUGGUUCAUACAUUAAAAAGUGAAGGGGCUGACGAGUCUCUAACUGUCUCUAUUUACGUACUCGUUGGAAUUUUAGUUGGAAGUGCAAACGCUUUCUUGGGUGAGAAAGACGAGAAGACCCUAUGAAGUUUAUCUAGUGAACCCUGGGGAGGGCUUCGUGCUCAGGCUAUCUUGGGGGUGGCUUUUGCUGGGGCAGCAGGAGAGCAGGUUAGACUCUACCGCUGACAUAAAAAGCUGGUAUGCUCGAUCCACUAAAGGUAAGGGGGCCGAUCAGGAGAAAGAGUUACUCUAGGGAUAACAGCGUAAUUUUGCCCAUUGAGAUCUUAUCAUUGGGCAAGGUUGCGACCUCGAUGUUGGCUCUGGGUAUCCAUGAACUUGCAGGAGGUUCAAAUGGUUGGUUUGUUCGCCCAUUAAAACUCGACGUGAUUGAGUUCAGACCGGA
rnacentral:rRNA from 1 species